rnacentral:rRNA from 1 species
AAAGGAAUUGACGGGGACCCGCACAAGCAGCGGAGCAUGUGGUUUAAUUCGAAGCAACGCGAAGAACCUUACCAGGGCUUGACAUCCCCCCGGCGGCCCCUUAACCGGGGCGUCCCUUCGGGGCGGGGGAGACAGGUGGUGCAUGGUUGUCGUCAGCUCGUGUCGUGAGAUGUUGGGUUAAGUCCCGCAACGAGCGCAACCCUUGUCAUUAGUUGCCAUCAUUGAGUUGGGCACUCUAGUGAGACUGCCGGGGAUAACUCGGAGGAAGGUGGGGAUGACGUCAAAUCAUCAUGCCCCUUAUGUUCUGGGCUACACACGUGCUACAAUGGCCGGCACAACGAGAGGCGAAGCCGCGAGGCGGAGCGAAUCUCCAAAACCGGCCCCAGUUCGGAUCGCAGGCUGCAACUCGCCUGCGUGAAGUCGGAGUUGCUAGUAAUCGCGGAUCAGCACGCCGCGGUGAAUGCGUUCCCGGGUCUUGUACACACCGCCCGU